rnacentral:lncRNA from 1 species
UCAUGUAAUUGAAACACUUUUAGCUUAGAAAAGAGCAGAGCAGAGGGUAACUAGCUCAGAAUUUUUAGUUGGUGGCAUGUAUUUAUGAGAUGGAAAAGUCUAUGUCUGAGAGGGGACAGAGGCUUAUCUUCUAGCGUGGAAAGGAGAAGGGGAUGGAAGAAUCACUGAAGAGGAGAAUACAGACCAAUCUCACUCCCGUGACCCCACCCAGAAGUGAUUCAAUGCAAGAGGACAGCUUGGAUCUCCUAUGACUUCAUCUCUGCCCCAACCCAUCAGCAGCAAGCACUCAUUGCCUAGCAACCACCGGCCCUUACCCCACACUGUCUUUGAAAAGCUCCUGCUUAUGAGCCUUGGAUGAGACUGAUUUGAGUGUUAACUCCACCUCCCACGUGGCGUGGCUGGCCUCCUGUCUGUGAAACUCUUUCUUUAUUGCAGUGUUGUGGUCUUUAUUUGCGCAGUGGGCAGGAAGAACCCCUUGGGUAGUUACAAAAGGUCACCUGGAAAUGAAGUGACAACUAAUUAGAUAUCUUAUCAAAAUGAAUGUAGUGACCCUGGCACAGCCCAAAACAACCACGCCCCUAAAAAGAAGAACAUUGAAAGAGGAAAUUGGGAACCUAAGCCUUUUCUGAGGACAUUCUGGAAGGUCCAUUAUGACACAUUUCAAUUCCCAGAAUUGAAGAAGUGUGGGUCUGCUGUCUCAUUAUGGUAAAGUCUACACUUAGGAAACCCUCAGACAUACUCUUUGAUCAAAAUGAUGCUCAUAACAUUCUGUUUUUUCAAGGCCGAAGGAUCAGUGCCCCCCGCCCCACUCUUGUCCAUUACCGAGAGCAUCCUCACAGUCCAUUGGAAAGUCCAUCAUGAAGUAACGAAUUUGUUCUCUGUGUUUAUCACCUGAAUAAUAGAUUCAGGGCCCAUCAUCUCCUGGAAAGCUAUUAAUCAUACACUGCAGUGUGGCACAGGUUUGAUGGGUUGGCCUCAAAACCAUGCCUGGCUGGAUUGGAAUUGUGGAUGAUGUUCAAUAACUGCCUUCAGAAACUAUUCAAGACAUUUAAUGAAGACACUUUUUUCUCCAUGUUUCUCUUAGGGACAAAAAAUAUAGCCAAUAGCUUUUUCCUCCUGAUUGCAAGUGCUUUCCGAAAUCCUCUGUCUUCUUAAUGGAAGAAGAUUUCUAUCUUGGCUCCUAUUAUUUGAGAGAUGUGAAAAGCAGAUUCUCCAAAUAUAUGUGAGAAACAAAACAAAAAAACCAUUUAUGAAAAGUACAAAAAGUCGCACACAUAAUAAAAGCUAAGCCCUUCCUUUCUUCCUCCUUGGUUAACUUUGGAGCCUUGAUAAAAGACAAUCUGAACAAAGAGCUCUUUAGAACAACUACAAAAAGUUUCACAAAUGCAGCGAGCAAUUACAAACUCUGUUUCAAUGGGCCUCAGAGCCACACAUAGAGAGCCAGGGUUGCCCAAGGCCGUUUCCAAGAACAUUUCUGAAGUUGGGCUUAAAACAAUUUGUUUCCAUUAUCUUUUACUCAAGGUGGGUUCUGGAAUAAUCUAUGGAAUCAUUUGCAAAAUUCAGCAUAAACUUCUCCUUGCAGAAACUCUGGUGACAUAUCAUUUGGCUGAAUCUCACAUGAUAGAUACUAAUGAGAAAUGCGAGCAUGGGUUUGAUAUAGUAUGGGCUUCCUUUUUGUAGCUAAGACAAGCCAAUUCCUGAGAAGACAUGGAUUAAAAAAAAUUGUGUCAUAUUCAUCAUUAGACACCCUUGUAUUUAAUCUACUGUACAUGUCUAAAUAAAAUUGCAAAGUGACAGGAUUCAACUUCGCAUUAAUCAUCACUUGAAAAUGGGGAGAGUGAGAAAGGAUGGCAUCUCCUUGGGGCCCAUGGACAAGGAGAAGUUUCAAAUUAUUAAGCAGAGAAAACGGAAUGUGGCUUUGCAAAGGCAAGUCAGAGCAAGCUCGCUCCAGUCUGGAGUUGUUCAAAAGGUAUAGCAGUGGCGGCAGCUGAAAAAAACCUUGAUUCUAUGAACUCACUCACGCAAUUUAAAGUCCAAAGCAUGGCUUCAUAUGUUUGAAAAACUCUAGUAUAUAGUGUGCAUUUUAAUUAUAAAAGUCAAUCAGCCAGGCACGGUGGCUCACACCUGUA